rnacentral:lncRNA from 1 species
AGGGUAUAAUUAAUCAAACUGAUUUGGACAAUACCACACGAUUUUUUUUUUAUUGACAAACCAACAUAAACAAUAUAUUAACGUAAAUAACGCAUUCACAUAUAAUUGUUUUAUUUAAUUAUUAAGAAAGACGAAGUACAUGGACGGUGGACACUAAGAAAUAUAAUCUCUUGUAUAUCAAGAGAUUUUAGAGGUUGAAAUGAACUAAACUGACCCUCACACAAUUAAUUGACAGGUAAUAACAGUACCCAUCCUUUUAUUAACCAUAAUGGAAAAGAGUAAUACUGCGUGCGUGCGUGAGCUUAUUAACCAGUGUGGUCGGGAUUUCUUCCAUAUUGAGGGACAGCAAUAAGAUCAAGAUUGUCAACUGUCCCGUCCUUAUCAUCAGCAAUACCAUAUACAGGUACUGGAGUACCCUCCAACCAUUCAUUCUUACCUGAAAGUUUAACAUUAGAAAAUGGAUUCAUAAAUGCUUAUAUUAAUAUAUGAAUUGUAAAUGAUAUCCAUUCAGCUGAAAUUGGCUAAAAAACCUGCGCAAGGAAAAGGAGUUUCCAUAUUCUUCAAAUCAGAAAAGAUCUCCAGGUGAAGCGUAAUCAAAACUCAAAAAUAAGUAGAGCUUGAGCGUGUUCUUAGUUCUGGUUUGAUCUGAUAUAUAUAGAUUCAAGAAGCCGAUGUUGCCGAGGUGUGGGUGAUUGUGACGUAGCAAAACAUAUAAUAGUUAUUUAAGAUUAACGGCCAUGGCUAAACUGCACGUCGAAACGUGUUAGCAUGGGUCCAUAAAAUAAAUAAUUUUAUCUAAUUAGGAGAGAAAUCGAUUCAGUAACAAGCUGCUGCUUGCACUUCCUAGAAAUUUUAAAUUUAUGAAUUGAAAUUACUCACGCCUUUUCUUGUGUAGUUAAUUAUGCAUACAGUUCAAGCUGAGGGAUACUGAUGUGAAGUGUAGGGACAUGGAUAUAUACUAUCGUUUACAUUAUUUUACAGCCUUGAUGUAUUAUUUUAUUUGGCAAUCAUAUAGUCACUGUCUGCACUACACUUUGUCUUCCCUACACUUGUCUCCACUUGAGUAUUCUUGAGUGGUAGCUGAGUCACAAGUCACCUUCUCAUGUCUGCUGGGCUUGCCUGUCGUGCUUGAUUUACUUUGUUCUAACACCCCGGCUCAAUCUCAGUUUUCUUAGCAUACUCUCAGGUCAUGUUUGGUUUGUAAAAAAUGGAGAAGAGGAAAAGUGUGGAAUGGAGAGGAAGAGAAAAGAAAGGAAUGGAGAAAAGUAGUAGUGAAAUCACAUUUUGUUGAUUGGUUUGAUAUAAAAUUUAAUAAGGAAAUGAAUUAUAAUUUUUUUCUUUAGACUAAUUUACAAUUUACCUCAAAUAUUUAAUUAUUUAUACUAGUAAUAAAAUAUAUAUAUAUAAAAAUAAAAUGACGGUCCGGUGGCCGGCGGUGAAGGUCCGGUUACUUUUCGGCGAACGUCUGGCAUCUUUUCGGCGAAUGUCCGGCAUGAUUCCGGCGAAGUUCGGUGGGAUUCCAGCGAAGUCCGGCAGCUUUCCGGCAACAUCAGGCGACUUUCUGGCGGUGAUCCAUUUAUGAUAUUAAAUCAAUAAAAUAAAAUUAUAAAUACUAAUUAUUAAUGAUAUUAAACAAAUUAAAAAGUUGAAAGGUAAUUUUAGAAACUUUAGUUUCUAACUUAAGAGGAAUUUAAAUUUUCACUACUUGGUGUGGAAUUCAAAUUCUACAUUAUGAUGGAUAUUAAAUUUUAAUGGAAAUUAAAUUCUUAUAUAUUUUGUCAAACCAAACAAUGGAAAUGAAAAGAGAAUUUAAAUUACUUUCCUCUUCUCCAUUCUCUCCUCCCAACCAAACACCACCUUAAUUUAUUUGUAUGGAAUUCAAAUAGCUCAUGUCCCAAUGCCUUUGUCAUAAUGUCCGCCACUUGCCUUUUACUCAGCACAUAUUUAAGAAUUAUUUCUCUUUUCCCGAUUUUUCAGUGUAAAUAAAUUAAGCCAAUAUCUUGAGAAUCCAAGCGAUACAUACAGUAGAAUUUGAAAUGGUGCAAGACCUAAUCAAGUUUGAUAUUUACUAAGUUACAGAGGCCAUUGAUGACAUACAUAGGAAAUUAUCUGUAAUUGUUGCUUGACUCCCACGUAUGUGUGUACAUAUAGUUCUUUUCAAGUGAGGGCAUCCUCAUUUUGUUAAAGUGAGGAUGCCCUCACUAGAAAAUUCCAGUAGUGAUAUCGCUGUUGGAUUUUUUAAUCUAGUAUUGUUGGAUCCUUAAUCCAAUACUGGGUUUAUAUGUGAAAAUUUUAUAUAUUGCAGACUGUCAUAUAAGAUUAAGUACAAUUAAAAGUGAACUAUUUAGGUUUUCGGUGCUAUGGACUUUAAUGUGUCUAAUAGGGUGUGAGCUUUAAUGUGUAGAGAUUCAAUGAUAUUUUAAUUUUAUGAUGGACAUAAUUAGAAAUAUCCAGUGACAAUAAGAAAAUGUUGUCUAUAUAAGUGGUUAUGGUUCCCAAAUCACAAGUAUGUUUCUAUUCUAUAUUGACAUCUCAUCAUCAGAGAGAGAGAGCGCAGAGAGAAUUAAAGGACUUUCUAUUCUCUUUUUAAGUGAGGAUACGCUCACUAGAAAAUUACAAUAGUGAUAUCGCUAAAAAACCUAUUUUAGAGUUUGAUUAUUUGAACAAGUAAUUUUAAUUCUGCUUGGCUAGAAUGAGAGUAGUAUGUUAUUAGUCUUUCUAUUUAUAUUUAGGUAGAAUUCUAUUUCUAUGUUUGAGUGUACAUUGCCUGGUAGAUUUACUCAAUUACAAAUCACGUGGUUACAUAAUAUGUUUGAAAACCUCUAAUUAACAAAAUUCUUAUUUUAUUUUCUUUCGUAAUAUGAUUUACCUAAGUCUCUCUUAUAAAAUCAUUUGCAUUAAAGCAUCAAUUAAUCUCAUUACUAUGAUGUAUUAUUUGUCUUGGACUUCUUAUUUUGGUCUAUCACUAUAUUACUUACCUUGGGCUGUCUCACUAUUUUCGCAUAAUAUUAUCUGCCUUGAGUCAUUCAUUUUUGUAUAGAGUGGUUAUAUUAUCUCAUCAGUUUUUAUAUUAAUUUCUAUUUUGCCGCUGUAUGAAAUUACUUGUUUUGGUGAAUUACUAUAUUAUUUCCCUUGGGCCGCCUCACCAUUUUGUUGCAUAAUCUGCCCUGGGUCAUUCAUUUUUGUAUAGAGUGGAGAUAUGAUCUCAUCAGCUUUUAUAUUAAUUUAUGUUUUGCCAUUGUAUGAAAUUAUGAAAAAUGGAUAUUGAAGAGUUUCUUGCCACAAAUUGAACCUGCAUCUCUGGUAAGCAUUACUCAUGCACUUUCGCGGAAAAGGCAGUAAGUGAAUGACCUAAACUCAUGGUUCAUUUCAUAUUAUGGAGUUUCUUAAUUUCUUCAGGAUUAUUUCGCCUGGAAUUCUCCAAAAAUCCACUGCUGAUAGGGUUGGUGCUUGCCACAUUGCCUUUGCGGCUGGUAGUGGCUUGUAUGCUUGUUGGAUUAGUCAGAAAAUUCAAUUGGCAUUGGUCACAAAUUUUUUUAUUCAAAUUUUUAUUCGAGCUGAGGGAUACAUAUAGUAGUAGACUUCAUAUACUAUGGGUGCGUUUUUGGGAUUGAGGUUGGGUAGCUGUGACUUUUAAGUUAGAGCACUAAAGUGUUUGGUAAACACUAGCUGUUGUACCUUUUAAGCUAUAUUAAUAUGAUUUUUUAUUUGUAUAAUGAAAAAUUUAUUAUAUCUUUAAUUAUUAUUUAAAAUUUAUAUUUACUAUAUAUUAUUAACUUUUGUUUGAUAGUUACUAUUUUUUUUUUAUAACAAUUGUAGUUUUUAAGUUACAGCACCUCAAUUCCAAACAAGACCUAUAUUGUCUUUCUCAUAUAUAUAAAAUAUAGUAAGAGAUAUAUAUUGCUUUCAUAUAAUUCUCAAUAUCAUAGGCGGUUAACCUGGACUCUUGGCCUAAAGACAAUAUGAGCAUGAAACCAUUUCGCGUGGGUGAUCAGUUAAGCCACCAAUGGGCUAUAAACAGAGCUUCAUUCAAGAGAGUUAAAGGUAUCCCAAGUUCUGAAAAUUGAGAGCAAGUACAAGUGAGCUUUUGCAGAGAAUUUUGAGAGUGUUUUCUUAACUAUUCUAGCGGGUAUUAUAUUGGGUGUAUUUAGGUUAUCGAGUUUUGAGAAUUAUUCCCGUUCAAAGCCCAACCCCAAUUUCAUGAACCUAAAUAAUAAACCAAACAAAAGAGAAUAUUCUCUCAAUUUAUCUAGAAUUAUCUUGGGUAAUAAUAUCCUGAAUAAUUGGCGCUGUGGCAGUUUUAAAAAUUUGGUGAUUGUUAAGAAAUUAAUGACAAUAAGUUUAGGAUGUCGUUACUUGUUAGGACCUGCAUUUAAAAUCUUAAAUAUUCGUAAUUAAUUAUAAAGAUCUUGGUUCACAUGCAAGCUACAACAAUUAGCCAACAAAUAUAUGGUAUUUUUGACAAAACUGUGCAAAAAGAAAGAGAAUAUAAUCAAUGAAACUGAUUUGGACAAUACCACACGAUUUUAUUUUUAUUGACAAACCAACCUAAAUAAUAUAUUAACGUAAAUAACGCAUCCACAUAUAAUUGUUUUAUUUAAUUAUUAAGAAAGAUGAAGUACAUGGACAUUGGACACUAAAAAAUAUAAUCUCUUAUAUAUCAAGAGAUUUUAGAGAUUAAACUGAACCAAACUAGCACUCGCAUGAUUAGUUGACAGAUAAUAACAAUACCCAUCCUUUUAUUAACUAUAAUAUAAAAAAGUAAUAUUGUGGGUAUGUAUGUAUUUAUUAACCAGUGUGGUCGGGAUUUCUUCUAUAUUGAGAGACAACAAUAAGAUUAAGAUUGUCAAAUGUCACUUCCAUAUCAUCAGCAAUACCAUAUACAGGUACUGGAGUACUCUAUGACCGUUCACUCUUACAUGAAAGUUUAAUAUUAGAAAAUGAAUUCAUAAAUGCAUAUAUUAAAAUAUGAAUUGUAAAUGAUAUCUAUUCAGCUGAAAUUGGCUUGAAACCUGCGCAAGGAGGAGUUUCUAUGUUCUUAUUUCUGCUUUGAUCUGAUACAUAUAGAUUCAAGAAGCCGACGUUGCCAACGUGUGGGCGAUUGUGACCUAGCAAAACAUCUAAUAGUUAGUUAAAUUCCACCUGCGACACGUGGGAGCAUGGGUCCACAAAACAAAUAAUUGGAACUAAUUAGAACAGAAAUCGAUUCGGUAACCCGCCGCCGCAUGCACUUUCUAAAAGUUUUAAAUUUAUGAAUUGAAACUACUGACGCCUUUUUAUGUUUGGUUAAUUAUUCAUAUAGUUCGAGCUGAGGGAUACAUACAGUAGUAGACGCCGUGUACCAUGUUCUCUUUCUCAUAUAUAUAAAUAUAGUAAGAGAUAUAUAUGGCUUUUAUUUAAUUCUCAAUAUCAUAGGCGGUAAACACGGACACUUGGCUUAAAGACAAUAUGAACAUGAAACCAUUUCACGUGGGUGCUCAAUUAUAUAACUUUCAUCCUUCUUAUGGAAGUCAGAAGAGGUGUGUACCUACCACAUCAACCGUGUCAAGCGAAGAUAUUGGACAUUUAAUAAUGAAAAAAUUAGGAAUUUUCAUGGACACACCAGUAGGUUCCGUAAAUAUAUAGAAUCAAUUGAUUCUAGGUACCUUACAAUGUGACUUAUUAUUUUUUUUUUUUUGUCCCUAAAGAUCCGGACUAUUUUUGAGGAUACUGGCCGUUGAGGCUUUGUUUAUAAUUGUGCAAGAAAAUGGAAAAGAAUGGGCUAAAGCGCAAAAAGUAAAGCUAACAGUUGUUUAAUUUAUUUUUUUAAGAUUGUUUUGAUGUGGAAUUUGAUUUGGGAACUUUUUUGUAAUUACAAGAAACAGCCACACAGGGUGACAAUUAUGGCAUUCUUUCGUCAAUUGGAUAUUAAUAGUACAAUGAGGAUGGCUAAAUGCAUAAUCACCCUAUUAAUCUUGCAGUCCAAAGCAAAAGCAAUAGCAUUACAAACAGUAGAACUCUCAGAUUGAUUCACUGUAUCUAAACGAUAGGUCAUCUGAUUACUAAACUAUCUGACGUAACUGAUUCAGAAAUUUAAUUUAGAGAGGAUUUGGUACAAAUAAAAUGAUUCACGAGGCGCGUUCGAUGGUGCAAGUGAUCGGCGGCAACAACAAGCAAGUAAGGUAAUGAUGAUGUAUAUGUUGGAAAUAUGACUUAAUAUUGUUUAUUAAAAGUUCAAAACAUGAAUAAUAGUUGUUGGUACUGUUCACUUAGCAACAAUUGUAAAUUUGUCAAGGCGUGUUCGAACUGUCCUUAAAACAAAUUUAAGCUCUUCUAGAAAGAUUUCUCGAUGCAAAAAGGAUAUAAAUAAAAUGGAUUGAGCUCCAUGAUACAAUGAUAUUGUUGCCAGGUUGCACUCCAAGUACAAUAGUUUAGAAAAGAAAAAUUAAUGAAGAAACUAUGAGAUAGAAGGAGAGGAUAUAGUGGCUGUGCCUUGAAGACUUUGUAUUUUAAAAUACCAAUAAAACUCGAAGAAUAAACUUAAAUAAUUUUGAUCAAGAUUGCACUUUAAGAUGAAACACUAAUUAGAGGCCUUUAUGUAUAACUUAAUAAUUUGAUAAAUAACUUCGCACUAGCAAAGCCAAGAGUUUCAUUUAAACCCCUAAGAUUCAAAUAUUCUUUCACCCUUUACUACUGGCAAAAUUUGGCAAUCGAUAUUUCGGAAGACAUCACACAUGUAAAAAAAAAAAAGGAAAAAAAAAUAGCUAGUCCCAUCAAAAUCACCAAAUGCAAUCCAAUAACAUGCUCCACUUAAGUAUAGACUUUCAUGAGAAUCGACAGAAAAAAUAAAUAAUAAUAAGUUCAUUUAGUUAAGCAAAUAACAGUUUGUGAUUGUUCUUUAACCUUAUUAAUAAUCUAAUUCUUAGUUUCUUACUAUUGUUCUUUUACUUGAUUAUGUUAUCCCCUAAAUCUUCAUAACAUCCAGAUUAAAUUAUUGAGAAAUACGAAAGCGGAAGCGUACCUGAAUCCAUGGUGAUUCGUAGUGGUUCUUGAGUGUAGGAGAUGGACUUCCAAUCUUCUCUUUCUCUUGAGUUUAGAAUUCUCUUUGAGAGGAUUAGAGAAUUGCAAAGGAUUAGAGAGAUUGGGGACCAUAACCCCUUUUAUAUAAAUACCGUGACUAUUGGUUUUCUUUUAGAAAACCCAACAGUCACGUUAUUUAUGAUAAUAAUUAUCACUUCAGCCCCUCAUUAAAGUGAUGAUUAAAUUCUGGUAUCUAUGCAUUUAAUCCACAACAAUUAUACCCUUAGCCAUUUAAUUAACUUCAAAUAGAUCACUUAAUUCUUGGCUUAUUAAAUAAUAGCACACACAUUUUAUUUAUUUCAUGUGUGGCCCCAAAUAUAUUAGAUUAAUAUAAAAUUGAUCUAACAAUCUCCCACUGGGCCAUAAAUGAAAACUGAAAUGUGUUUAACUUAAUGAGCUCAUAAAAUUGCUAUUAUGUCCUUAGAGUAUAUCUGAACAAUCUAGUUCAAUAACCACAUCGGUAUAUGAUCAUAUCGGCCUUUGUUACAUUAAUCGUAACUCAACCAUCCAUGGUCACAUAUAUCAAUAUAGUUACAUGACAUAGAUCAAUUGUGGAUGCAUAGCAUGGAAAUUACAUGCAAUGUGAUCUAAACAUGUCUAUUCCCAACUGGUCCUAAUUUACUUUAUUGAGAUCUAAACUUAAGUUAGUCUAACAGAGUGUAAGGAACUGAAAUACUUUAUUUCUGCAGAAAAUAAUCCGAAUAAUAUAAUCAAAAUAUAAAAGUCACACUUAGUAAUUAUACAAACUCCCACUAAAUCUGAAUAUCCUCAAGUAAAAUCACACCCAUACGAGCAGUGUGCUCAUGAAAGACUUUAGGUGGUAAUCCUUUAGUGAGCGGAUCCGCUAUCAUGGAGUUUGUCUCAAUGUGCUCUAUAGAUAUUUGUCCACUCUGCACUCUUUCCUUCACAACAAGGAACUUGAUGUCAAUGUGUUUUGACUUUGUAGAGCUCCUGUUGUUGUUGGAAUAUAAAACUGCUGACUUAUUGUCACAAAAUAUCUUGAGCGGUCUUUCUACACCCUCUAGAAUGCGCAGCCUAGUGACAAAAUUACGCAGCCAUAUUCCUUGAUUGGAUGCCUCAUAACAUGCUACAAACUUUGCUGCCAUAGUCGAUGAAGCUACAAGUGUCUGCUUGGCAGAUCUCCAAGAAAUUGCUCCACCAGCCAACAUGUAAAUAUAGCCUGAUGUGGAUCUUCUGCUAUCUUGGCAUCUAGCAAAAUCAGAGUCAGAAUACCCAAUGAUCUCUAACUGAUCUGACCUCCUAUAUGUGAGCAUGUACUCCUUUGUUUUCUGUAAGUACCUCAUAACCCGUUUGGUUGCUUUCCAAUGAUCCAUCCCGGGAUUGCUCAAAUAUCUGCCCAACAUGCCAACUAUGCACGCAAUAUCUGGACGCGUACGUACUUAAGCAUAUAUAAGACUCCCUAUAGCUGAAGAAUAAGGAUUCUUCUCCAUUUCCUGGAUUUUAAGAUUGGUCUUAGGGCAUUGACUAAGGCUGAAUUUAUCUCCUUUGGCGACAGGGGUGUUACCUGGUUUACUGUUUUGCAUGCCAAACCUCUUCAAAACUUUAUCGAUAUAGUUCCUUUGUGACAAUCCCAGAAUACCCCGAGAACGAUCCUAAUGUAUCUCGAUUCCUAAAACAAAGGAGGCAUCACCAAGAUCUUUCAUCUCAAAAUGUUUUGAUAGAAAACUCUUGGUGUCGUGCAGUAUGCCUAUAUCAUUUGUGGCAAGCAAUAUGUCAUCAACAUAUAAAACCAGGAAUAUAUGUUUACUCCCACUAAACUUGUGAUACACACAUUCAUCAAUAACAUUUGCCUCAAAACCAUAUGAGAUAAUUAUUUGAUGAAACUUAAAGUACCAUUGACGAGAAGCUUGUUUGAGCCCAUAGAUGGAUUUGGUUAGCUUACAAACCAUUUUCUUUGGGUCUCCCAACACAGUUUUUUGGUUGUACCAUAUAAAUUGUUUCCUCAAUGUCACCAUUAAAGAAAGCAGUCUUAACAUCCAUCUGAUGUAACUCAAGAUCAAAAUGUGCAACAAGUGCCAUAAUUGUCCUAAAAGAGUCUUUCGUAGAAACCGGAGAGAAAGUCUCUUUAUAGUCAAUUCCUUCCUUUUGAGUAAAGCCUUUAGCUACAAGACGUGCUUUAUACCUUUCCACAUUACCAUUUGAAUCCCUUUUGGUUUUAAAUAUCCAUUUACAACCAAUGGGCUUCGCACCGGAAGGUAAUGAGAUGAGUUCCCAAACUUUAUUGUCUUGCAUUGACUUGUACUCUUCAUUCAUGGCUUCGAUCCAUUUAUGAGAAUUGGAGCUUUGCAUGGCUUGAUGAAAGUUAAUUGGGUCAUCUUCCAUCACUCCAGUUUCAUCCUCAUGUUCCUGAAGAAAUACUAUAUAAUCAUCCGGAAUAGCAUUUCUCCUUUCUCUUGUGGAUCGUCUUAAUUGCGCAGGCUCUUGAGGUUGUUGAGUUUGUUCCUUAGGAACAAUCAUCUCAUGUUGAUUCUGGGGUUGAACAACAUUGUCAGAUGGUUGAGGAUCUGAAUUUACUUCAUGAUCAAUGACAAGUAUUAAAACUUGUACAUUGUCAAAAGCAACAGUGGAUCCCUCUUCCUCUUCAAAGACAAUGUUUCUUACUGGAUUUCUCCCCCCAAACUCAACAUCCUCAAAGAAUGUAGCAGUUCCCGUCUCAAAAAUUGACCUUGUACUGGGAUCAUAAAACUUAAAACCCCUUGAUCGCUCUGCAUAGCCAAAAAAGUAGCUGCUUACAGUUUUGGAAUCCAAUUUCCUUUCAUGAGGUCUAUAAGGUCUCGCUUCAGCUGGACAUCCCUAACUAUGUAAAUGGUUGAGACUAGGCUUUCGACCCGUCCAAUGCUCAUAAGGUAUUUUAGCAGCCGCUUGAGUUGGCAUUCGAUUUAGGAUAUAAGCUGCUGUUUUUAGUGCUUCACCCCAGAGUGAUUCUGGUAAAGUAGAAUGACUGAUCGUACUCCUUACCAUAUCCUUAAGAGUGCGGUUUCGUCUCUCAGAUACACCAUUCAUGCUAGGCGAUCCUGGCAUAGUAUAUUGAGGGACAAUUCCACAUUCCUCUAGGUAUUUAGCAAACGGUCCUGGACGUUGUUCUCCUGAACCAUUAUAUCUACCGUAGUAUUCACCACCACGGUCAGACCUGACAUUUUUAAUCCUUUUGUUGAGUUGUAACUCAACUUCGGCUUUAAACGUUUUGAACACAUCCAAAGACUGUGAUUUUUCAUGAAUCAGGAAUAUAUAGCCAUAUCUUGAAUAGUCGUCUAUGAAUGUAAUGAAAUAUUGUUGACCAUUCCAAGUAGCUGUAUGGAAUGGUCCACAAAUAUCUAUAUGAAUUAAUUCUAAGACGGCUGAUGUUCUGUAGGCUCCUAAUUUCUUACUUUUGGUUUGUUUUCCCUUGAUACACUCAAUACAAACAUCAAGGUCUGUAAAAUCAAGAGAUCUUAAAAUCUCAUCAGACACUAAUCGCUCAAGUCUAGCUUUAGAGAUAUGACCUAAACGUUUGUGCCAUAAUGAGGCCGAAUUUUCUUUCUCUAAUUUACGUUUUAUACCUCUGGAACUAAAAUGCAGGUUUUCAUUAUAACUUGAAACAGUGUGUAGCAAAUAUAGAUUGUCAUAAGCAUUAAGCAAACCGGUUCCAAUAACAUUAGAAUUGAUAGAUAAACUAAAUUGUCUGUUUACAAAUGAACAAGAAUAACCAGAUUUGUCCAAAACAGAAACUGAAAUCAAAUUUCAUCUAAAAGACGGAACAACAAAAGUAUCUAACAAAUCCAAAUAACAACCAGUUUUCAUAAGUAAUCUAAAAUGCCCAAUUGCUUCAACUUCUACCGUCUUACCAUCUCCUACAUAAAUGCAUCUUUCAGCAUCACUUGGCGGCCGGUAGCUCAGGCAACCCUGCAGUGAAACACAAAUGUGAGUAGUAGCACCCGAAUUUAUCCACCAUGUGUUUCUUGGUACUGAAGCGAAAUUAGUUUCAGAACAAACCAAAGUAAGAAAUGUACCUCUCUUUACGCGCCAUGCGUGAUAUUUUUGACAUUCCUUCUUCACAUGUCCAGGCUUGCCGCAGAAGAAACAACCAUGCUCGGCCUUUGGUUUCUUUGGCUCUGGACCCUUACAAGCAGCAGCUUCACCCUUUUUCUUUCUUUUGCCCUUAUCUUUAAAAGUGCUUACGAUAUGUGCAUAUUCGGAUUUCUCUUGCUUCAGUCUCUCUUCUUCUUGCACACAAAAGGAAAUCAGUUCAUUAAGAUUCCACUUCUCUUUCUGACAGUUGUAACUAACUUUGAACUGAUUAAAUUGUGUUGGGAGAGAGAUAAGGACCAAAUGCACAACCAAAUCAUCAGAUAGGUCGAGCCCUAAUGCCUUAAGCUUAGAAGCAAGAUGAGACAUCUCCAUGAUGUACUCUCGAACGUUUCCCUUGCCUUUAUACUUCAUUGAAAUCAAGCUUGCUAAAUGCAUACUUGUUUCAGCCUUAUCGUUUUUUGUAAAACGUUUAUGAAUUUCGGUAAGAAACUCACUAGCACUUGUAACCUCAUCAGUUAUAGCACUCCUAAAUACUUCUGGAACACCGCGCUUCAUGAUCAUAAGACUCAUCAUGUUAGAUCGAUCCCACUUCUCAUAGUACAACACAUCCUCAGAUGUACUAUCAUCAGUGAGUUCGUCUGGCUUAGGGUGUCUGAAUGAUAAGUCUAGAUCCAUGCAGCCUAAGAGAAUCAUCAUAUUCUCUUUCCAGUCAAUAAAAUUAGUCCCAUUUAGAACCGGGACACUAUUCAUAUUUGCAGAUAUAGAAGUCGCAGAUAGAAAAGCUAAAUAGAGAACAAAAAAAUAAAAUAUAAAUAAUGCUCACAUUAAACAACUCAAUUAAUAAUCUUUAAAAAUUUAAAAACAAAUUAUAACAUUUCAAGAUACCUAGCACAACAUUAGUAACAAGUCUUUGGACUAUAAUACUAACUGUAAAUGGUACUCUUGUUGCAAUGAUCAAAUUUUGACAAUAAAUUAUGUCAAGUAAUGAACCAAUCUUUGGAUUAGUACAUUACUCACAUUAAGUUAUCUUAAUAAUCGUCACAAAUUUACCAUCACAAGUGUGUGUGCAAUUAGGCCAAAUAUUAACCUUCCUUUGGGUCGAUUAACAUCCGCAGGAAUUACACAAACACAAACAUCUAACACCCCAAAUAAACUAAUCUACACAGGAGAUAUCACUUUGGUGACUUCCUGCUUUAAUUAGCAUAUCAUCAGUGUUAGACCAAUAAUCAUUUUAAUUUAAAGAUUAUAAAACCAUAACCGAAAUAAUUAAUAAAACCGAAACCGAAACGUGGUCUAACCAUAACAAUUACAAAAUUCCAAGCAAAAUGAUAUUAAUAACUCAAUAAUCUAAUCAUGGAUGGGGCUCUGAUACCACUUGUUAUCCCCUAAAUCUUCAUAACAUCCAGAUUAAAUUACUGAGAAAUACGAAAGCGGAAGCGUACCUGAAUCCAUGGUAAUUCGUAGUGGUUCUUGAGUGUAGGAGAUGGACUUCCAAUCUUCUAUUUCUCUUGAGUUUAGAAUUCUCUUUGAGAGGAUUAGAGAAUUGCAAAGGAUUAGAGAGAUUGGGGACCAUAACCCCUUUUAUAUAAAUAUCGUGACUAUUGGUUUUCUUUUAGAAAACCCAACAGUCACGUUAUUUAUGAUAAUAAUUAUCACUUUAGCCCCUCAUUAAAGUGAUGAUUAAAUUCUGGUAUCUAUGCAUUUAAUCCACAACAAUGAUACCCUUAGCCAUUUAAUUAACUUCAAAUAGAUCACUUAAUUCUUGGCUUAUUAAAUAAUAGCACGCACAUUUUAUUUAUUUCAUGUGUGGCCCCAAAUAUAUUAGAUUAAUAUAAAAUUGAUCUAACAGAUUAUAUUGUCGAAUCUUUCUGAAAAAGAUUGUUUUUGUAAUUGAACUGUUUAAAGUUUAAACAAAAAAAAAAAGCACUAAAUCCAAAUCAAAUAUAAAUACAAAUCCAGGUUCUAAAAAAAUCAAGUACAAAUACAGAAUCUAAAUUCUAAAACUUAAAGUUUCCAAGCGAACAUCAAGGAAUCAACAUCCCACGAAGCAACACGAACGGCGAAGGCGAGCUAGUUCAACCUGUAUCGGGGCUGGUUACUGGUCGCGAUAGCAGCUAGUGAUGAUGAACAUUGAACACAGCCACAAUCACGAUUAGCGAAGGUGGCGUUCAACUCGUAUCACAACUUGUUACUCGUUGUGACAUAGAAGAAGAAAUGAUGGCUAAUGAUGAUGAUGAGAUUAACACAACCGCAAAGAUAGUGAAGUGAUGACGACGAUGAUUUAAUUUGAUGAAAAAAACACCUGAAAAGAGACAGACAGGAAAUGUUUGGCCUUGGCAGCCGCAGUUAUGAAUGCAAGUAGGGCACUUGGGCUUUUUUUGUGUUUUUCUAUUUGUAUUAUAUAAUCUAAAAAAAUUAAUAUUAAAAUAAAAGCUUCCGGGUCUAGAUUCUGUAUCUAUGGGUUCAGAUAAACCCAGACACGGACUUGGAUACGUCUGGGUUCAUUAAAUUGCAUCCGAAUUCCAUAUAAAAUUUGCUCCAGUAUGGGUUGAAGCCAGCCUAUUCUCUGGGUUCAUCUAGGUUUGGGCGGGGAUCAGAUUGAAUUGGCAUCGCUUUUAUGUCCAAAUUAUCAAUAAGAUCCUUUGCUGUUAGUAAAUUCCUUUAUCAAAUGGUUUCAAUUUUGAACAUAUUAGUCCUAUUCCAAUUUUCAACCGUUCCCAAUUUUAUAACUCCAUUUAUUAGUAACAUUGUCUUAAAAGUUCAUCAUUGCACGGCACUAGAAUGAUUAUAAGGUUUAAUAUUUUUGAAUUAUGAAGCUCGUUCUCAGUAAGACAAGGCUAUUUGCACUCUAAAACUUAGUCUAAACAAUCUAUCACCUUGGAUACUCAUGUACUAAAUUUAAAAAGAUUAAGUUUUAUUUUCUUCACACUUUAAAAUACCUAAAAAGACCUUACUGAAACUCGCUAAAUUAAUUUACUCAAAACACCAAUCAAACUAUUUAGCACAUCCAAAAUGAAUUAGUAAUAAUUUAGAAUACACUGCAAUGGAAUCAAAGUAUGUUCUAAAGAAAUUUUUUUAACAUAAGUUUUAUUUAUUAGCUUUUGUUUAUUAAAGAAUAUGUUCAGCAUUGGUUUUUAAACCCCAAACUUUUAACCCAACAAUUGGAAAAAAUGGUUAUUUGGCCCAAAAAGGGAAAAAAAGAAAGAAAGAAAGAAAGAAAGAAAGCAAGCAAGAAAGAAGAAAAGAACACAAAGAAGAAGGAGAAGACUGCAAAAAAUAUUUUUAAAAAACUAAAAGGCAUAAAUAUGUUCAAAAUAUAUUAAAAGUAUUCAUUUGCUCCUAGCUCCUAGUUUAACUAAAUAUUGUUUAAGAGAUUGGAAAUAAAAUUUCUAGGGCUUAUGCCAAAAGAAUUAUAUAUUCAAUAAUGAGUGUGCUAUAUGAGUAUUUAGAGUAAUUAUAUAAUGUUAAUUUAUAAGAAAGAGUCCUUAUUAGUAAUUCAUAUGAUGUGUAUUUUUGUGAUAGAAUAAUUUAUUAAAAUAAAAAUGUGCAGAAUAUUUUUUGUAUUGUAAAUAUGUAAAAAUUCUCACCCUUCUCAAUAUAUUGACUUGAGUGAUAAUUUUAAAUUGCAUCAGAAUGAGCUAAAAGAAGAGGAAUUGUCGAAAUUCAGCUUAUGGCAAUUGAACAAUUAAUGGUUAAGAAAUACAGUAAAUCAAUAAUACUAAAACAUAAACAUAAUAAGAGAUCUGGGAUCUAACUAAUAUAUUGAUUCAAGAGUGACUAAUUAAAUAAAACUUCUUGAAAACCACACCUGCACAAGUCCAUGUGGGUUCUCAAGUUCUAUGUUAACUAUUAUUCUUCUCGGCAAGUAUCAUUCUUCUAUUGGAGAUGCCAUUGUUGCAGAAUAGAAGUCAGUUGAAGCUGUUAAUAUUAUGAUUGAAGUUUAUGCAAGUGCAGAUUGCAGACAGUAGAUAUCGACUUGAAGCCUCAUGUAAGGAAAUAAAGGUUGGUUUUCAACCAAAUAUGACGACUGGGACAAUGUCGGGUGGUUAAGGAAGAUGCAAUGGUCGUCUCAAAAAAUUGGGUUUCAUUGGCCAGAUAAGACUAAGAUGUCAACUUUUUUUUUUUCGUUAAUAUGAUUAACAAUGAAAGAGUAAUUUUGAAACAUUGACUUGGACUUGUGAUUGUUAAUAAAUUUAUUACUUCUUUUCAUUAAUUUGACCUGCAUAACAAUUAAUUGAGUGAUUUUUAUUUUUCAAGAUACUGCUACUUGAAGAAAUUGUAUGAAUCAAUAAUUUAUCAAUGAGUAACGUUACAAUUUAUACAAGUUAGACAUACUUGGCUGAUAAGCCAAACACUAUAAGAUAAGUCAUAGCCUAUAAGAUAAAUACAAGCUAAGGUAAAGAGCUAUAAGAUAAGAUUACAAGUUAUUGAAACAGAGAGUAGUUAUCUAUGUACAUGUUUGGUUAAUACGCCCCUGCAAGAUAUGUGUUCCAUCUAGAACUCCUAGCUUGGAACGUGCAGCAAUAUAACGACUGCGAGACAGUGGUUUGGUCAAGGUAUCAGCCAACUUAUUUUCUGAAGGAAUAUGAGAAACACAAAGAAGACCUGCUGCAAUUUUAUCACGAACAAAAUAAAAAUCAAUUUCUAGGUGUUUCAUCUUUGAGUGAUAAAUCGGAUUUGAACAUAAGUAUGUCGCUCCAAGAUUAUCACAAUGUAGAACAGGCAUAGAAAAUUUUAUACCAAGUUCAUCCAACAAGUUCCUGAUCCAACAUAUUUUUGAAACAACAGCAGUUAUUGCUCAAAAUUCUGCCUCUGUAGAUGAGCGAGCAACAGAACGUUGCUUUUUGGAUGACCAUGAAAUUGGAUUGCCUCCAAAAUAAAUAACAUAGGCACUAGUAGAACUGCGAUCAUCAAGAUUUCCUCCCCAAUCAGAAUCAGAGUAAGCUAUCAAGGAAUGCGACUGAGAUGAGCGUAGAUGUAAACCAUGAAAAAUUGUCCCUUUCAAAUAUCUAAGUAUUCGCUUAGCAGCUUGCCAAUGAAUUUGUGAAGAUUGUUACAUGAACUGAGAUAAUUUGUUGACAACAAAUCUAAUAUCCGGCCGAGUUAAUGUUAGAUACUGUAAGGCUCCAAUAAGUUGACGAUAUAGAGUGGAAUCGGCUGGUGGUGCCCCAUCAUUUAAUUGAAGUGUAACUGAGGAGGAAAGAGGAGUACCAACUGCUUUAGCAUCAUACAUGCCAAAACGCUGCAGGAGGUCACGAAUGUAAGAGUGUUGUGACAAGAGAAUUCCAGUGGUUUGUUGAACAAGCUCAACACCUAAAAAAUAGUUUAAAGCCCCAAAUCUUUGAGAGAGAAUUUAACUGAAAGAGCAUCAAUGAAAUGAGAAAUAAAUGCAUUAUGGCUGCCCGUUAUAAUUAUGUCAUCAACGUAGGCAAGAAAGUAGACUCGUACACCAUUUGUGUUAUAAAUAAACAAUGAUGCAUCAGAUCGACAUUGAUGAAAACCAUAAGCAAGCAGGAAAUGAUGUAAAGCUGUAAACCAUGCACGUGGAGCCUGUUUUAAGCCAUAAAUUAAUUUAUUCAACCUGCAGACAAAAUUAGGUUUGUUAGAAUCAACAAAACCACUGGGUUGUUUCAUGAACACUUCCUCUUGAAGAUGACCAUGGAGAAAAGCAUUAUUAAUAUCUAGUUGCCAUAAGGACCAGCCACAUGCCAAGGCUAGGCAAAUAACCAAUCAAACUAUAGUAGGCUUAAUAACUGGAUUGAAAGUUUCAUGAAAAUCAAUCCCAAGACGCCGAUGGAAACCUUUAGCUACUAGAUGAGCUUGAAAUCGAUCAAUACUACCAUUGGGUUUCCUUUUAAUCCAAAACACUCACUUACUGCCGACAAGGUUCUGAUUAGGUGAUGGAGGUAUAAGGUCCUAUGUGUUAUUGGAGAUAAGGGCACGAUAUUCAGUAGUCAUGGCAGCAAGCCAUUGAGGAUCUUUAAGUGCCUGUGUAAUGGAGGUGGGUUCACAAGAAGUUGGCAAUGGAUGACUGAAGUGCACCUGUAGAUGGUCUAACGUGGAAGAAAUUUUUUUUUUGGUUUAUGGAUGUUAUUUUGGGAGCGGGUUGUCAUUGGAUGUGUUCGAACAAGUGGAUUUGAUGAAGAAUGAGGUUUAGAUAAGGUUGAAUAAGGAUUAUUGGGUUCUGGAAUGGUGGGUGGAAUUUCAAUGGAAUUAGGAGAUGAUAAGGACGUGAGGAUCUGGGAACUUAUGGUGGUGGGGCUAGUAUUUGGUGGGUAUGAUGUGUGGGGUCAAGAGAGUUCUCCUGGAAUGAACUUGGAGGUUGUAUAUUUGAAUUAGAAUUUUCUGCAGACAAAGAACAUGAGCCCAAGUGCAAUGUCAUUUUAUUAUCAGAUGAGGCAAGUGACUGAGUGGCAUUAGAAUUGGAAGUUGAAACGGUGGGACUAGAUACAUGAAACACAGGAGGAAGCCAAGACGCUAUAGGUAAAGUAGAGAAAGAAGACAAAGUAGAAGUAAUAGAGUUAUAGGGAAAUACAUACUCAACAAAUUGCACAUCUCGUGAAAUAAAAAUUUUCCCAAACUUUGGCUCCAAGCAUUUAUAGGCACUUUGUUGAAAGCAAUAUCCUAGAAAAACACAUGGAAGUGAACGUGGUUCUAAUUUGUUGUGAGUGUAUGGCCGAAGCCAUGGAUAACAAAGACACCCAAAUAUUUUUAGUUUAUUGUAAUUAGGAGUUUCUUUAAACAGUAAUUGGAAAGGACAUUGCAUGCCAGUGGCACGAGAAGGUAGCCUAUUAAUUAAAUAGACAGCUGUCUGGAAGGCAAAUGACCAAAAUUUUGGUGGUAAUGAUGCUUGGUGCAAUAGUGUUAUCCCGGUUUCAACAAUGUGUCAGUGUCUACGUUUAGUUGUUCCAUUAUGUUGUGGGGUAUAAGGUGGUGUAGAUAAAUGAGAAAUGCCACACUUAAGAAAAAAAAUCUUUGAGUUUAAUAAAUUCCCCACCUCUAUCAGUGUAAACAGAAACAAUAUUGGUCUUAAAAUAAUUUUCAACAUUGUUCUUGAAUUGAACAAAAGUACCAAAGACAUCAUAUUUGAAUCGCAAUGGAUAAAGCCAAAUAUACUUGGUAAAGUGAUCAACAAAAAUCACAUAAUAUUUGUAACCAUCCAACGAUGUAACAGGAGCAGGACCCCACACAUCCGAAUAAACAAGUUCAAGAGGACUACUACUUUUCAAUGUAGACUCUCCAAAAGGGAGGCGAUGACUUUUAUUACAUAAACAAGACUCACAUGAUGGAGGAACUAAAGACCCAGAAAUAGAUAAAUGAAGAAAACACAAAAGAUGAUUUAAAACUUCUGUUGACGGAUGACCAACACGCUGAUGCCAAAUGGAAGAUGAAGGUUUAAUAGUGACACAGGAAAGCGGUGAAGAUGAUUUGCUAAAGAAUAAAUUUGGCCACUCAUACACUCCAUCCUUAUUCUGGCCUUGCAAUAAAAUUGCCCCCGUGGUCAUGUCCUUCACCUGAAAAAAAUCAGGAAAGAAUUCAAUAGAGGUAUUAUUUGAAGCACAAAAUUGAGAUACGAAGAUUAGAUUUUUAUUCAUAGAGGGGACAUAAAGAACAUCAUGCAAAGAAAAUUUGGUAUGAGGGGAAGAUAAAGAUAAAGAUCUAGUGUGAGAAAUACUCAAACCUGUACCAUUUCCAACUAAAACUGAAUCAGAACCUUGGUAGGGAGAAGCAGUAGUUAGAUUUUUAAAAUCCCCUGUGACAUAAUGUGAGGCAGCACUAUCAACAAGCCAAUUUGGGGAAACCAUAUUGGAUGUAAUGGUGUGGUUUAACAUCAGAGUAUUUUUGCGAGAGGAGAAAACUGGACAGUCUUUGGCUGUGUGACGUUUUUGCUCACAAAGCUGACAAAAUCCCUUAUAGCCAGAUCAUUUCUUACGAAAUUGAGCAUUAUUAUUGGUGAAAUUUUGAUAGUUGGAGGCAUUAUGGGGUUGGGAAGAAAAUUGACCAUUAUUAAAUUGGCCAUUUUGAUGUGGCAUAGAAGAGCCACGGUUGCCUUGCUUGUGAUUUGCACCAUGCUUAUUAUAUUGUCGUUGUGUAGCAUUAGUCGUAAUAGGAGAAAUUGCCAUUGGAUCUGCUCGUUUCAAAGUUGCUUCAAAAUCAACCAACUUGUCAUAUAACUCGUCAAAGGAAAUAACAGUUUCACGUGUUCUUACCCCAACAAUUAUUUCUUUGAAUUCUGCGCCAACUCCAUUAGCAAUAUGAACCGCAAUAUGAACCACAAUAUCGUCAUCAAUGAUGGGUAUAUCAAUCAAUGAUAAUUCAUCAGUAGUAGAUCUUAGGGAAUUGAGAUAAUCUGCCACAGAUUGUGAUCCACGAUGGGGGCGAGCUAGACGCUCUUUUAGCGAAAACACACGGCUACGGCUAGGAUUGGAAUAAAGUCUUGCUAACUUAUCCCACACUUAUUUGGACGUUGUGGAACAAGCAAUCAGUGGAGCAACUCUUUCUGAAGAGGAGGCAAUGAUGGAAUGAAAGAUCAAUUGAUCUUGACGUUUCCAAUAAAGGUAUGCUGGGUUUGGGGUGGAUACAGUUUCACUGCUAGAGGCUAAUGUUGGGUCUGGACAUGGAAAGGAUCCAUUUAUGUAUUUGAUAAGAUCAUAACCAAAAGCAAGGGAUAAAAACUGAGCUCGCCAAGUAAAAUAGUUUUCUGGUGUAAGUUUCAAAGGAAGUUGUGCAACAACAUUAAUAGAGAUAUACCCAGUAGAUUGUUGGGUUGAUUGGGUAGGGGAAAUGGCUGUAGAAGUAGGUGUUGUUUGAUCAGCCAUUAUAAAAAAGAAAAAUGUGCUCUUUAGAGACUAGAGCUCUGAUACCAUGAAGAAAUUAUAUGAAUCAAUAAUUUAUCAAUGAGUAACGUUACAAUUUAUACAAGUCAGGCAUACUUGGCUGAUAAGCCAAAUACUAUAAGAUAAGUCAUAGCCUAUAAGAUAAAUACAAGCUAAGGUAAAGAGCUAUAAGAUAAGAUUACAAGUUAUUGAAACAGAGAAUAGUUAUCUAUGUACAUGUUUGGCUAAUACUACCCUCCCAAGUUCGAAUCUUCGGUUGAAAAUUUUGAUUUAAACUUAGUCUUCAUCCCUCAUUUAUAAAUAAUAAAUAAAUUAAUUAAUACAUAAAUAAAUAAAACCUACGUGAAUGUAGAAAUGAAUCAGAUGAAAAGUAAAUAUUGUAUAAAUACCCGCACAAUGUGGUUCAGCUGCAUUGAAUAUUAUGCCAAGAAUAUGCAAAUCUGUUGGUUAGUGUUGACUUUGAACUACCUGAAGUACACAAGGGACUUUAACAUAGACUUAAUAACCAGUGGAAUUUCUGGCAAUUUAAGAAAAAAAGGGAACUAAGAUUCAUUUUAUUAUUCUUCCUUCCUGAACCUUAACAAAGAAAUUAAUCACAAAAAUAGUUUUUUGAAGUCUUUAAAAGUAAACCUUUUAGGAUCUCUUCAGAGAGCCGAAGAAAUGAAACAUGAGAAAACUUUGAAGUGAAAAGUAAUUUGGAGCUUACACAUCUUGGCACUCUUAAUCGGUGAAGCAACUGUGAUGUAACCUAACAGAAUGAUUAGAAUUUUCUGAGUAUAUAUGUUAACCCAUCCAUCAUAUUAUCUAUAUGUGUAUUCAGCACAAACCUUUUAAUCUUGUAUAAACUUAAAAUAGAGAACUGUUAUUCGUUCAAUACUUGCAGCCUUUAGAAGCUCAUCAAGUCCUUCACAAGUCCCAUUGUCCACUGUCGCAAGAGUUUGUUAAAAUCAUGAAUCAGUAUUGUGAAUUGGUUUAGUUAUAUUCUAUUAAGUUCGUUGCUAUUUUUCAAAAAAAAAAAAGUUCGUUGCUGAGGUGGCUUGAUGAGCUGGCGUUUGUGGGAACCUUAGUGGUUAAGUUGUUACAACAGUCCUACAAGUUUUUGGAAUUAAAUAUAAAAGAAAGCAAUGCUGGCCGGUGCAGCACCUAAAGACAAGAUCUUGACUAACUUUGAGAUAAAUUUUGUUAAUUCUUCAUUGAAGGGAUUUAUUCUCUGUGAUCUCAAGAAUUGUAGUAAUCAAUAUCUUAAUAAAAGUUUAUUAUCAGCCAUGGAUACAGGUACUAUGGUACCAAACCACGUAAUAUUACAAUGUUCUUUUUCUCUACUUUUUUAGUUUCUUUGUCAUAUAUGUUCUUUGUUCUUUGAUCUAGUGUCAUUAAUUCUUUGUGCCAUUAAUUGGACUGGUUAAUUGGCUAGUUUGAUUAAGAGCCGAAAGAGAAGAAAAGGCCUUGAUUUAUAGAAAAUUGGUAUCAGAGCCUUGGAGCUCUUUGCUCUUGAUCUUCAAAUGGAAAAGUAUCAGAUUUGAUCUCAAAAAAUUCAAUGGUGAAAAUAAUUUCUACUUGUGGAGUCUCAAAAUGCGUGCAAUUCUAUUUCAAGAAGGGUUUGAUAGUGCUCUUGAUGAUGAUGAAUAUCCAAAGGAUAAGAAAGAGAUUGAAGAAGGUUCAUCAAGUUCUGGAGGAGACAUGGGGUCCAUUAACAAUAAGGCUCACAACAGCAUUAUUUUACAUCUUUCAAGUGAAGUGUUGAGAGAAGUGGGAAAAGAAGAGACUACUUCUGGUCUAUGAGCAAAACUUGAAGAGUUAUUCUUGAAGAAAUCUUUGGCCAAGAGGCUCUGUAUAAAGAGGAAGUUGUACACAUUUUCAAUAAAGGAGAGGACAACUAUGAAAGAUCAUUCGGAUGAAUUUAACAAGCUGAUAUUGGAUCUUAAGAAUGUUAACAUUAUUCUUGAAAAUGAGGAUAAAAUUCUUAUCUUACUAAGCUCACUCCUAGAUUCAUAUAAGCAUUUUGUGGGUACUUUGUUGUAUGGAAGACAAUCACUCACUUUGAAGAAUGUGAAAAAUGCAUUAGAAUCUAAAGAUUUAAAAAAAAGAACAGAAAUAAGGGAUCAAAAUCUUGGAGAGGGCCAUAGUUGUCAGAUUCAUAUUAGAGAAGAAAGCCAAUAAAGACAAAAAGAAUAAUAAUAAGAGGGAUAAAGUUGAUAACAAGAAGAAACAAAAUGCUACUUAUGUCAUAAAGAAAGACAUUAUAUUAAGGAUUGCUUUGAGAAGAAAAAGCUUAAGAGGCUGUAAAAGGAACCAAAUGGGAAGGUUGCCAUUGUAUUUGAAGAUAAGGGAGAUUCAGAAGGAGCAGAUGUCCUUAUUACACUGAAAAAUAACUUACUGGUGAGUGGAUACUGGACACUGUAUGUUUUUUUUUUCAUAUGUGCCUAAAUAGAGAUUUGUUCAAGACCUUUGAAAGCAUUGAUGGGGGCAAAGUCUUGCUUGGAAACAAUCUUACUUAUAAGGUUAUUGGAAUUAGAACCAUUAGUAUCAAGAUGUUUGAUGGGGUAACUAAAGAUCUAAAAUCAGUGAGAUUGAAAACUUUUUGUAUUUCUCUAUAUCGUAAAAGGUUACACAGAUUCCUCUUAUAGAGAAGAAUACAUAAAAUCAGGAAACUGACAAUAAAUUAGCUAUCUAGUUGUACUAGCUAUUUCCUAAUUUACACCAUUGACUUAUUCUUAUUUACAGCUAACAAUCCUCUCUAACUACAAAUAUUUUUUUCCUUUUCUACACUCCCCCUGAAGUUGGUUUGAAGAUAUCCUCCAUAGCCAGCUUGCCAAUUAGCUCGUUGAAUUGCCGAGUAGGAAGCCCCUUAGUAAGUACAUCUGCAACUUACUGAGUAGUGGGAAUGUUAGGCAUACAGAUUAACCCUUUCUCAAGUAUUUCCUUGAUGAAAUGUCAUCUUUAUUGUCAUAAGUAGUUGAUCUAAACUAAGUUUCUAUGCUGCUUCUUGCCACCACAUUUUGCUUUUUACUUCGCCAUGUAAAACGAUUGCCACCAAUAAACGUGCAAUAGCCAGAAGUUAAUCGUUUAUCAACAGCACUUCUAACCCAAUCCGCAUCAGUGUAGGCUUCAACUUGUAAGCGCCCACGAUUCUUGAAUAACAAACCUCUUCCAGAAGUCCCCUUCAAAUACCUGAGAAUUCUAUAGACUGCAUUGAAGUGUUCUUGUCCAGGGGAAGGCAUAAACUGGCUAACUAUGCUCACUGCAAACGCUAUAUCUAGACGAGUAUGCAAUAAGUAAAUCAAUCUUCCAACAAGUCUCUGGUAUUGUUCUCUGUCCAGGACUUCUUCAGGUUUAAGAGGCUAUAAUUUGAGGUUGAGCUCAAUAGGUGUUUGUGCUGGUUUACACUCUAGCAAGCCCGUUUCAUUAAGCAAAUCAAGGACAUAUUUACGUUGAUUCACAAAUACACCUUUUUUGGAUCUAGCAAACUUCAUUCUAAGAAAGUAUUUCAAUGUCCCUAAAUCCUUGAUCUCGAAGUCAGCUGCAAGUCUCUUUUUCAAAUUUUCUAGUUCUUCACUGUUAUGAUAUGUCAUGACUAUAUCAUCCAUAUAAACAAUUAGUGUAGCAAUUCUGCCUUCUCUACUAUGUUUAUAGAACAUAGUAUGAUUAGCUAGGCUUUGACAAUACCCACAAUUCUUUACAGAUUUCCUAAAUCUCUCAAACCAAGUUCCAAGGGAUCACUUGAGGCCAUACAACAACUUCUUUAGUCUACAGACUUUCUUUGAUCCCAAAUUCUUCUCAAAACCGGGUGGUAGACUCAUAAAAACCUCUUCCUUAAGAUCACCAUUCAAAAGGCAUUUUUUACAUCCAAUUGGUAUAAUGGCCAGUUCAGAUUUACAACCAAAGAUAAUAGAAUUCUAAUUGAGUUUAUCUUCGCUAUCGGAGAAAAGGUCUCCUGAUAAUCAAUCUCAUAGGUUUAAGUGAAUCUCUUAGCUACUAAUCUUGCCUUAAAGAUUUCUAUGCUACCAUUUGCUUUAUACUUCACAGUAAAGACCUACUUGCAACCUACAAUCUUCUUCUCUUUAGGCAAGUCAACUAUCUCCCAAGUACCAUUUCUCCUAAGAGCAUUCAUCUCUUAUAUCACUGCCAAUUUCUAAUUUGGAUCACCAAGAGCUUCUUGAAUGUUUCUUGGGAUAAAAACAGUGUGAGAUUUUUUAAGUAAAUGCCCUAUAAGUGUGAGAAAGUUUGUCAUAAGAAAGAUAUUGAGCAAUGGGAUAUCUAGGAUUCUUAGUGAGAUUUCGAAUUCCUUUUCUAAUAGCAACGAGAAUAUUAAGGGCUGAUGAUUCUUUGCUAGGGAAAAUGAUGGGAAUUGAAGAUGAGUUAGGAUUGAAAAUACCUGUGAUAUUUGCAGGUCCAAUCCCCGAGGGUUGUGAUUGCUCGUUACCAAGAGUAACUGGUUGCCUUUGACUUUUUUUAUGAUGUUUUCUCCAAGUAUAAACCAAAAGCUCAAUGUUAGAAUCAUUUUGAUCUGGCAGUAGUAGUGAUUCUCCCCAUGUUUCAGAUACAAUAAUGUUUGGCAUUAUAUUGCCAGAACUUCCCUCAUUAUUCUCAGUGUUUUUAUCAUCACAUUGUUCCUGACUUUGAAGGUCGGGAAUGGUAGGAUGAGAGGAAUGAGGUAUAGUAGUAAAAAAUACUUUUGGUAAAGAGUUAGGAGAUAUAUCCCAAAAAGUUUAUUCCAUUACCUCAUACUCCCCCUGAAGAGAAUUUUUGUGAAAGUAGGAUUUAUUUUCAAAACACGAGAUAUCCAUACUCGCAUAAAUUUUCCUUGUUUGGGGAUUAUAGCACUCAUAUCCCUUUUAUUGGAGGCAUGCCCUUGGAUCAAGUUUGGACUGAGUGUUAUUAGGUAUACGAACAAAGACAGUACAACAAAAAACUUUAGAGGUAAAUCUUAAUACAUUCUAGAUAGGGGAAAGCAUUUUUUAAAACAUUCUAGAGGUAUAUUAUAUUUUAAAACACAUGUAGGCAUCUUAUUAAUUAAAUAAGUUGCUAUUAAAAUAACUUCUCCCCAAAGAUAUUUUGGAACAUUCAUCGAAAGCAUUAUAACACUUGUUACUUCAAAUAAAUGUUUAUUUUUUCUUUUAGCAAUCCUAUUUUGCUGAGGAGUAUCUACACAAGUGGACUGGUGAUAAAUACCUUUUUCUUUCAAUUUUUUUUUCAAAAUACCUUUAUAGUACUCGGUUCCAUUAUCAUUGUGAAGAACUCUAAUUUUCUUUUGAAAUUGAGUUUCAACUAUUGUGUAAAAGUCUUUAAAAAAAUUUCCAACUUCAGAUUUUUUACUCAUUAAGUAAACCCAAUAUAGACGGGUGUGAUCAUUUAUGAAUGUGACAAAUCAUUUUUUCUUUGAAAUAGUAGUAACUCUUGAAGGUCCCCAAACAUCACUACAUAUUAAAUAAAAUGGUUUUGAAGGAAUAUAAGGUUUUGGCAGAUAAGUAGUACAAUGAAUCUUUGACAUACAACAACUUUCACAGUAAAAUGAUGAAAAAUCCAAACCCUUAAAUAAAGUAGGAAACAAAUGUUUAAGAUAUGGAAAGCUAGAAUGUCCUAAUCUUAAAUGCCAAAGCAUUAUUUGUUCAUAAAUAGAGUUAGAACUAACACUACUAAGGCCCUGAGCCUUUUUAUUCCUAGAGAAAUCAUCAUCAAAGUAGUAAAGGCCACCAAUCAAUUUAGCACUGCCAAUCUUCUUCCCCGAGGUUUGGUUCUAAAAUUCAAAGUAAGAAUCACAAAAAAUCACUCGGCAAUUAGAAUCUUUAGUUAUUUUACUCACGGUUAAAAGAUUACAAGCUAACUUGGGAACAUGAAGAAUAGAAUUAAGGUUUAAUUUUUUGGAUAAUUUAAUCAAACAUUUCCCUACUAUUGGUGAGAAAGUACUAUCUGCAAUUCUUAUUUUGUCAAGACCAUAACAUGGUGAGUAGGUGCAAAACAAAUUUGAAAGGUUGGUCAUAUGAUCAAAAGCUCUUGAAUUUAUGAUCUAAUGAGCAUAAUUUGAACAUAAAGAAAGAGCAUUGGGUGUGCUAUCUGUUUAUGCAAGAAAAACAGUAGGAAUACUACUUGGUGAGUAAUUGGGUUUUAUCAACUGCAGACGGUAAUCCAUCUGCUCCUUGGCGAAAGGGCCUGUCUCGGCUUCAUUUGCAGUACAAAUCAACCAGGUAUUUUUAUCACCAGGCUUGCUGCUCUUUCAAUUUACUGGUUUUUCAUGGAUUUUCCAGCAUGUUUCUCAGGUAUGACAUUGUUUGUUGCAAUAGUCACACUAUACCCGUAGCUUCUCUACAGUUUUAUGUUGAAAUCUGGCUAUUUUGUUAAAAACAACCAAUGCACUAAAAAGGGCAGAACUUUCAGUAGGCCCGUCAGUUGUCUUCUUUCGUAGCAUUAUAUGUAUACGGCUUUCUUCUCUUCGAACCUCAAUAAACACCUCGCCAAUUGGAGCAACUGGCUUUCUGCCAAUGAUCUGCCCCCGAACCUCAUCAAACUCAACGUUGACUCCUACAAGAAACUUGUAAAUACGAGAAGCCUCAACAAUAUUGUUGUAAUAUUUGGCAUCUUCUGUGGAUUUCAUUUCAUAAUCAUUGAACAGAUCUAAAUCUUGCUGAAUGGAUUGAAACUACCUUAAACAAUUAUCACCAUUAAGGUAAAUAAUGGUAAUUUGAAUUAGAUGAGUAUCAGUAUUGGGAGUUUGGGUUUGUGUUAGAGAGUUGGUUGAAGCAGAUAUAAUCAGUUGAUUAUGAUGGCUCUAAUACCAUGAAAACUUUUUUGUAUUUCUCUAUAUUGUAAAAUGUUACACAGAUUCCUCUUAUAGAGGAGAAUACAUAAAAUUAGGAAACUGAAAGAAAAAUUAGCUAUCUAACUGUACUAAUUAUUUCCUAAUUUACACCAUUGACUUAUUCUUAUUUACAGCUAACAAUCCUCUCUAAUUGCAAAUAUUUCUUCCAUUUUCUACAGAGAUAUAUGCCAGACCUUACAAGAAAUCGCAUGUAUCUAUGGAUGAUUGAUCAAUUGGGCUGUAGCAUUAAGGUAGAAUAUGGUCAAAUACAGGUUAUAGAUAAGGGUAUGAAGGGAAUUAGAAGGAAUGGUUUGUGUGUUUUGGUUGGGUUAUUACCUCAGCUAGGGAUAAAUGCUAGUGUAAGUAGUGACAAAACCAAACUUUGGCAUAAUAAGAUAGAAUAUAUAAGUGAAAAAGGUUUGAAAGAACUAAGAAAGCAAGAGUUAUUUGGUCAUAAUCAAAUUUCCUCACUAGAGACAGAAGUUCAGGACAGGAAGACAUGAAACAAAGAGACAUUGGAUUAUGUUCAUUCAGGUUCCAUCUCAUGGUAGAGCUAGGUACUUUAUUACCUUAAUGGAUGACUUCUCAAGGAAUCUUUGGGUUUAUGUGUUGAAACAUAAAAGUGAAGCCCUAAAGAAAUUCAAGGAAUGGACAGCCCUAAUGAAGAACCAAAUUGGAAGAAAAGUGAAGAGAUAAAGAACAGACAAUGGCCUGGAGUACUGCAACAGCGAGUUUGAUGAGUUUUGUAAAAAGCAUGGCGUUAUAAGGCAUAAGACAGUAAGGCAUACACCACAACAAAAUGGCCUUGUUGAAAGAAUGAACAGAACCUUAAUUGAGAAGGUCAGAUAAUAUUAUUUCUCUAACCAUUUUUGGGCUGAAGCAAUCUCUAUUGCUGCAUACCUUAUCAAUAAAAAUCCCUCAUCAACUUUGGACUUUAAAACUCCACAAGAAGUCUCGUCUAGCAAACCACUUGAUCUAAGUAACCUAAGAAUCUUUUGUUGCCCAGCUUAUGCACAUAUAAGUUUGGGAAAGCUAAAACCAAGGGUUGUUAAAGGUUAUUUUAUAGGAUAUUCUGAAUGAAUUAAAGGAUAUAAGAUUUAAAGUAUUGAUGGGAAGCCCAUUAGAACCUUUAUCAGUAUAGAUGUUGUGUUUAAUGAGGAGGCAUUGAUACAAACAAAAGUUGAAACAUAGAUCUUUACUAAUUUUAAAGGAGAUUCACAUCUGAUGGUGGAGUCAGAUGUGCACAAACAUUCAGAAUUAGAAGGGUAUCAUCUUGUAAGAAAUAGAGAAAGAAGAGUUGCUGCAAGGCCUAAAAGAUAUGGUAUUGUUGUUUUAAUUUCAUAUGCAUGUAUGGUUAUUGAUUAUGUAAGUGGUUGAGAACUUAUCAGCUACAAAAAGGCCAUGAGUAGUAGGGAGAAGUCAAAAUGGCUUGUAGCAAUGAAAGAAAAAUUGCCUUUUUCUAGAAAAAUAAUACGUAGAUCCUAGUUGACAAGCCUUUAAACAAGAAAUUGGCUAGCUAUAAAUGGGAUUUCAAGCUCAGAAAGUGAUCAUGGGCAACCUAGAUAUAAGGCUAGACUUGUAGCAAAAAGGUUUACACAAAGGGGAGGAAGCAUUUUCACCAAUAGUUAAACAUAGCUCUAUAAGGGUUUUGUUGGCUAUCACUGCAUUCUUAUAUCUAGAAUUAGAUCAAAUGGAUGUCAAAAUAGCCUUUUUGCAUCGUAACUUAGAUGAAGAAAUUCUAAUGGACUAACCAGAAGGAUUCAUUAAAGAAGGAACUAAAGAUAUGGUUUGCUUAUUACAUGGCUCGAAGCAAUCCCUAAGACUAUAGUAUUUAAGGUUCAAUGAAUUUAUGAUCACUCAUGGAUACUUCAGAAGUCAAUAUGACAGUUAUGUGUAUUGUAAACUCUGCCUUUUAAAGAUACUAUCUAUCUUCUUUUAUAUGUUGAUGACAUACUUAUUGCAUAUAAACAAAGAGAAUAAAUAUAGAGGCUUAAAGAUGAACUAAGUUCUGAGUUUAAUAUAAAGAUCUUAGGCCCUACAACAACGAUUUUAGGAAUGCAGAUCAUAAGAGAAUGAGGUGAAAAAACUUUGUUCCUUUUUCACAAGCUAAUUAUGUCAGAAAGGUGCUUAACAUAUUUGGUAUGCUUAGUUCUAAACUUGUUACUAUACCUUGUUGCACAUUUGAAACUGUCUAAACAACAAGAACCAACUGAAGGAGCAAAUGUUGAACACAUGAUGAAAAUACCUUAUUCUAGUGUAAUGGGGAGCAUCGUGUAUGAUAUGGUUGUUUUAGACCCGAUGUUUGCAUAUGGAAUAGGAGUUUUCAGCAGGUUUAUAAGAAAUCCAGGGAAAGAACAUUGAGAUGCUAUUAAGUGGAUACUUAGAUACCUUAAUGGUACAACAAAUAAUGGUAUUUUAUUUGGAGGAAUUAAUAAUACACAAGUAAAAUCUUAGGCUAUGUGGACUCAGAUUUUGCUGGCAAUUUGGACAAAAGAAGGUCAGUUACUGGAUUUGUCUUCACAUUGUAUGGAGGUGCAAUGAGUUGGAAAGAAUCAUUGUAAUUAGUUGUUGCUUUAUCUAGAACUGAAGUUGAAUAUGUUGCACUCAUAGAGGCUACAAAGGAAACAAAAUGGCUCAUAGGCUUGGCAUCAGAAUUAGGAUUGAGGCGAGAGUCGAUUUCCAUUAGUUGUGAUAGUUCUAAUGCAAUACAAUUGAGCAAAAACCCAAAAGAACAUGAAAGAACAAAGCAUAUUGAUGUUAGGCUACAUUUUAUCAUAGAAGAAAUUGGUUCUGGUGUGGUGAAUAUUAUCAAAAUCCCCUUAGUAAUCAAUCCUACUGAUAUUCUAACAAAACCUUUGCCUAUAGUCAAGUUCAUGGGCUCUUUGAACUUGAUUAGGGUUGUUAGCUUGUAAAUCAAGCUAUGUGUUGCUGCUACAGAGUUCGGGUGAAGCUUGAAAAUAAUAUAAAUGAAGAGGAGAUUUGUGAAUUCGGUUAGUUAUAUUCUAUUAAGUUAGUUGCUGAGGUGGCUUGAUGAGCUGCUGUGUGGGACCCUUGUAGUUAAGUUGUUACACGGUCCAACAAGCUUCUGGAAUUAAAUACAGAAGAAAGCAACGCUGGCUGGUGCAACACCCGGAGAAAAGAUCUUGACUAGCUUUGAGAUAGAUUUUGUUAAUUCUUCAUUGAAGGGAUUUGUUCUCUGUGAUCUCAAGAAUUGUUCUAAUCAAUAUCUUAAUAAAAACUUCAAGUCCAAAGGGGUAUUAUCAGCCGUGGAUGUAAAUACUUUUGUAGCAAACCACGUAAUAUUGCAGUGUUCUUUUUCUCUGCUUUCUUAGUUUCAUUGCCGUCUUUAUUCUUUGUUCUUUGAUCUAGUGUCAUUAAUUCUUUGUGCCAUUAAUUAGAUUGGCUAAUUGGCUAGUCUGAUAAAGAAUCGAAAGAGAAGAAAAGGCCUUGAUUUCAUAACAAGUAUUCUGUCCAUUAAGGCUUCAAGUCAAUUAUUUUCUUAAACAAUUUAAGAGAAACUUUAAUUGCUUCAGUCUUCACUCUUCAACGUGUAUGAGUCUCUAUGAUAAGAGUUUUCUCCAAAUUCAAAUCCAACUUUAGCACCCAAAUUUUUGGCCUAAAUGGAAAAAAAAAAAAUUAAAGGCUUUACGUACUGGAUACUGAGGUACACACUUCACAUAUUAAUGUAAAAACUAAAAAGUUAACAUAUAUAUCGAAGGCUUUAUGAACUGGAUAAGAGUCUUGACAUUUUUAUGUAAAAAUUAACAUAUCAAAGGCCUUAUGAACUGGAUGAGAGUCGAUCAUUUACCCCCAUUGGGGACUGAUACAAAGUUAUUCCAGUUGGCGCACAAUGUCUUGCAAAGCAAGCAAACGUUCCCCUCACUAGAUGUAAUUGAACAAACAAUAAUCACAAUAUUUUUUUUUUUGGAAAAGUAAUUAAUUCAUUGAUUAGUACCAAAAAAAUCAUUGAAAUUUAAUCAAAUUAUACGGAGUUGCAUACCAUUUUUGCUCUUUGUUAAGAAUUGAUGGUUUCUUAAUAAGAUUAUAAUUGAAAGAAUUAGAAAUGGAAUGAGGAAGAUCUUUUGGGGGUAAAUUGAUUGAAGAAUGAAUGGAGAAUUUGUUUCAGCCGGAAAGAAAUCAGAAAGUAUUUGAGAUGGAAUUAAGAAGAUUUUUGUGGGUAAAUUGAUUAGAGAAUGAAUGAAGAGUAAAAACGCAAAAUUUGGAAACUCGGAUACUUGGAAAUCAAGUAAGGUCUGUGAAGUCGGAUAUUAGGAGAAUUAUACAGGCCGUUUGAUAUCUAAUUUGAACGGUUUAGGAAAUUGGGUGGAUAUUCUCUUGUGUGCAUAUUAAUUUUAUUAAUGAAGAGUGAUUCGUUCAAUUGACGAGUAGAAUUUUAAGCACUGUUAUAUGAUGGUGUUACGCAUUGUUUAGUACAAGUUUAACUAAUUGCAACUUAAAAAUUAUAGCACUAAAUUAUUUGUUAAACACUAGCCGCGCUGCUGUCACUUAAAAUUGAAAUUGAAUUGAUUCAACACUUUUAUGAAAAAAAAAAUUGAAUUUUUUUUUUAAUUUUUAUCAUAUUAUUAUUAAAAACAAUCAUGUUCGUCAUAUACUAUUAACUUUUAUUUUUAAUAAUAGCUUCUUUUACCACAAUAUGAGACUUAAAUAUUAUAGCACCUCAAUACUAAUCAAAUGCUUAGCGUAAAAUUUUUAAUAAAUAAAAAUAUAAUUUAAAUAGUUUAAUUUUUCUAAUAGACUAAUAAUAUUAGAAUAUUUUUAAUAUAAAAAUAAUUUUAAAACUAUAAAUGAUUAUAUUUAUUUUAAUAAUGUAUUUAUAUUUAUUCUAGAAUUUUUUAAUAAAUAUCUAGGUUAAAUAAAUUUUUCUAACAGACUAAUAACACAAUGCUCGCAAAAUGGUAAGCUUACCGAUUUGAGCCCUGGAGGCAAUUUUCGCUCAGAGAGAAUUUUCAAAUCUUGUUUUGACAAAUGACCGAGUUCGAGAUGCCACAUCAUCGUUGAUUCUUCUCCAUUUGACGUGACACACGCAUCAGCUUCUUGUGGUGUUUCCCCUUCAAGUACGAACAAAUUAGGACUGAUCUUUUCUGCCUUCAUCAAUACAAGCGCACCUUUAACAAUCUUCAUAAUCCCAUUUUCAACAUGGGUUUUACACCCAUGACAAUCUAUUGUCCCAAAGAUAAUAGAUUUUUCUUCAAGCCUUUGACAUGUUGUACCUCCUCAAUUGUACGAACCGUACCAUCAAACAUUUUUAUUUUGAUAGUACCAGUACCAACGAUUUCCAAGGCAUGAUCAUCUCCCAUGUAUAUAAAUCCUCCUGAGAUAGGUUCAUAUGUGUGGAACCAUUCUCUUUGAGAGGUCAUAUGCCAGGUAGCUCCUGAGUCUAUGAGCCACACAUCAGAUAACCAUUUUCUGCCUUCUGAAACAGUUGUUGUCUCCACUCUGCUUGUUUUUCCAACACUCUUUCUUGAAAUGCCCUUUCUUGCCACAAUUGUAGCAUUUGACAUUUUUCUUACUUUUUAAUUUUGAUCUACCAUGAUUGUGACUCCUAUUGGGGCCACGAUCUGUUGAUCUUCCUCUCGUCAUCGAUAGUGCUUUUACUUGCUGCGAACUUACUUGUUUGUCUUCCUUAUUUUUCCACCUAUUCUCCUCAUUUAAUACAGAGGCUGCAACAUCAUCGAAGACUAGACUGUCCGCUGGGUUGUUGUUUGUCAGGUUGAUGAUGACUUAGUCGUAUGAAUCUGGUAGACUUUGAAGUAGAAGCUCUACACGUUCAUUUUCCUCUAUUUUAUGACCCAACGUUGAAAGUUGUGAAAAUAGAGUCUUUAAGGUGUUGAUGUGGUCGGUCACAUAUUUUAAGAAGAUCUUGUUGUGCAGUGAUUUGGCCUUGUACAAUUUUGUGAGAGUAUCACAUAUUUCCUUUGCUGUCUUUUUCUUUGCCACAUUGGAUAAUACUCCAUCCACAAGCACCAAGUAUAGAUUAGAAAUGGUGUUGCCGUCUAUCUCGUUCCACUUGUCAUCAAUUAACUCCAUGGGCUUUUCUCCAAUUGCUAUCAAGCAUACAACUUUUAUCUUCAUUUUCCACAACGAAAAAUUAUUUCCGUUGAAUUUCUCAAUUUCGUAUUUUACCGCCAUCGCUUUUCACCAAAAACUAACUUUGCUAGGAUCGACUCUCAUCAUUUUCAAGUGAACAAUAAUUGUAUACGUGAACAAUAAUCAUAUACGUAAAUAGUGCCGUAUACGUUAACAGUACCCCGACUCCAAAAGAAAUACAACAAGUAGCUCUGAUACCAUUGUUAGGAAAUUGAUGGGUGAAACACGGCCACAGCUAAAAUGAAAUUGAAAGAAAAUUUACAAGUAUUGUAAUAUUUUGUCUCACUACCCAAAACCCUCUCACUCAAUAGACUCACAAGAGCUUUGUAAUUUUAAGCUCUUAAAAUCACUCAAAAUCUUUGUUUUUUCUCUCACCAAAAUUAGAUGCCUAAAAUCAAAUAAAGAGCUCCCUUUAUAUAGCCAAAAUUGGCUAUUAAAAUAUUAUUAUUAUUCUGUAACCGCCUUUAAUUUCUUCUUCUUCUAUUUUCUUCUUUCUUCUUUCUACUUCGGCGGUGCCAAACCCUUCAACAUUUGCUACUUCCAAAUUCUAUUUUUCUUUCCUUGGGUGGCACCUCCUUGGACUUCAAUUUGGGCAGCUUAUACAGCUUCUAGAUCUUCAAAAUAGGCUACUUCUGGAAGCCUUUUCGUGACACAUUACCUAGUAGAUUUACUCAAUCACAAAUUGGGUGGUUACAAACUAUGUUUGAAAACCUUUAAUUAAUAAAAUUCUUAUUUAUUUUCUUUCGUAAUACGAUUUACCUAUUAUGAAAUCAUUUGCAUUAGAUCGUGAAUAAUCUCAUUACUUUGGGGUAUUAUUUGCCUUGGACUUCUUUUUUUGGUCUAUCACUAUAUUACUUACCUUGGGCUGUCUCACUAUUCUCGUGUAAUAUUAUCUGCCUUGAGUCAUUCAUUUUUGUAUUGAGUGGUGAUAUUAUCUCAUCAGUUUUUAUAUUAAUUUCUAUUUUGCCGUUGUAUGAAAUUACUUAUUUUGGUGAAUUACUAUAUUAUUUCCCUUGGGCCGCCUCACCAUUUUGUUGCAUAAUCUGCCUUGGGUCAUUCAUUUUUGUAUAGAGUGGAGAUACGAUCUCAUCAGCUUUUAUAUUAAUUUCUGUUUUGCCAUUGUAUGAAAUUAUGAAAAAUGGAUAUUGAAGAGUUUCUUGCCACAAAUUGAACCUGCAUCUCUGGUAAGCAUUACUCUUUCAUUUUCGCGGAAAAGGCAGUAAGUGAAUGGCCUAAAUUCAUGGUUCAUUUCAUAUUAUGGAGUUUCUUUCUUCAGGAUGAUUUCGGCUGGAAUUCUCAUAAUUUGCUUCCAAAAAUCCACUACUGAUAGGCUUGGUGCUUGCCAUUUUUGCCUUUGCAGCUGGUAGUGGCUUGUAUGCUUGUUGGAUUAGUCAGAAAAAUCAAUUGGCAUUGGUCACAAAUUUUUUAUUCGAGCUGAGGGAUACAUACAGUAGUAGACGUCGUGUACUAUGUUCUCUUUCUCAUAUGUAUAAAUAUAGUAAGAGAUAUAUAUGGCUUUUAUAUAAUUCUCAAUAUCAUAAGCAGUAAACAUGGACUCUUGGCUUAAAGACAAUAUGAACAUGAAACCAUUUCACGUGGGUGAUCAAAUAAUAACUUUCAUUUGUUUAACUUCUUAUAGAAGUCAGAAGAGAGUGUACCUGCAACCAGUGGCGGUGCCAGAAAUUAUUUUUAGCGGGGCUAAGUUCACAUAAUAGUUUAAUUCAAGAAAGUAAUCAACAAAUAACAUAUAUCAAAAUAAAAAUUCAUUAAAGUAUUUAAUGCAACACACUUAUAAUUGUUCUCGACAAGGUUUCAUAUAUUGAAAACGUUGAAGAAUAACCUCAUUGUCAAGACUACAAAAUACAUCAUUUUUUUUAUGAAUACAACAAGGCUAUCAUUCAACCAUUGAUCUCCCAUCCGAUUUCGCAGAUGGUUUUUCACAAAAUUCAUAGCUGAAAAUGCCCUUUCUACUGUAACUGCGGCAACCGGUAAAAUCAAUGCCAAUGUCACCAAUAAAUAGACCAAUGAAUAUAAUUGAUCCUUUUUAGUCUCAACCAAUUUUCUUACUAGCUCACCAAUCCCUUUCAAUCCUGAAAAUUUGUUGUCAGAACCCACAUCCAUAAUAUAAACAUCAAAUUGAGUUUCAAGUGCCACAAGAUUCAUUAGAGAAAAAUCAUUCGGAUAAAACUCAGCAAGGUGAAGUAGUUUCUGUUUAUCAAAAGCUGCAAAUGAGUCAUUGGGGCAUAGACAUGCCACACAAAGAAGCAACUCAGUAUUCAUCUCAUUGAAACGAUUGCUUAAUUCUUUAAGUUGCAUGUCCAAAAUUGCAUAAAAUAAUUCAACUCGAAAAUAAUGCAAAUUCGUGAUCUUUUGAGCCUUGCGUUGUGAUCUUGCUUGUGAUAACUCAUAUGCAAAUCCAAGAAUAUUUUUCAUUAACAGCAGGCUAAACACAAAAGCAAAUGAUUGCAUUGACUUCGAUAACAUUGUAGCUUGAAAUCUUUGUUCAGAAUUUCCCUCAUUUGAAAUUAUCUCAAGCAUGUCAAUAAUAGAUGGAAACAUGGUGAUUAUACUCAAUAACGUACCAUAAUGUGGGCCCCAACGUGUAUCAGCAUAUCGCUUUAAAGUAACCUCUUGAUUUAAACCUCGUCCACUUGAAAGUUCACCAUCAUUGAGUGCUUUAAUAACUGCUUGAGCAUGUUUCUCUUGAAGAAUAUCACGACGUUUUGCUGAAGCACCAACAACAUUGAUAUCACGACGUUUGCCCGCGGGGAGUCGUGAUAUCAAUGAUUGCAUUCACCGUCCACAAGUUUAUCUUAUACACUUCAAUUAAUUUCAUAGCAUUCACAAUGUCUUGAUCCUUUUUUUUGUAAUGCUUGUGAUAACUCAUGUGCAAAUCCAAGAAUAAUAUUUUUCAUUAACAGCAGGCUAAACACAAAAUCAAAUGAUUGCAUUGACUUCGAUAACAUUGUAGCUUGAAAUCUUUGUUCAGAAUUUCCCUCAUUUGAAAUUGUCUCAAGCAUGUCAAUAAUAGAUGGAAACAUGGUGAUUAUACUCAAUAACGUACCAUAAUGUGAGCCCCAACGUGUAUCAGUAGAUCGCUUUAAAGUAACCUCUUGAUUUAAACCUUGUCCACUUGAAAGUUCACCAUCAUUGAGUGCUUUAAUAACUGCUUGAGCAUGUUUCUCUUGAAGAAUAUCACGAUGUUUUGCUGAAGCACCAACAACAUUGAUAUCACGACGUUUUGCUGACGCACCAACAACAUUGACUAACAUUGUGACUAAAUUGAAAAGAGAAGUAAUUAUAAGAAUUUAAAGAGAAACUGAAAACAAUUUCCAUGUCAAAAUGUAAAAAAAUACAAAAAUACAAAAUAUUAAUUUAAUAAACUAACUACCCAAUUAAAUCCCCAACCACUAAAUUACUAAUCCAUCAUAGCAUCACGCCAUGACCAAUGGCAUUGUUAUUCUAUUGUUUAUAAUAAGUAAAGUUAAAAGCAUUGCCACUUUGUCAAGAAGCAUCGCCACUUUAUCAAGAAACAUGCCACAAUCAUUCUAUUCAAAAAGCAUAAAAAAAUUCAAGAAUUAUAAUAUUAAAUUAUAAAGUGACAAAGAUGUUUAAUUAUCAAAAUAAUUUAAUCAAUUCUUAAUAAUUAAUCUAAAAGCUGCAAAGGUAUGACGGUAGUACCUGAAAAAAUGCAAAAAUGCAGACCAUGCGGUGGUGCAGGGCUCCAAGUGCGAGCUGCAAGUUGUAGCAUUUAUGGCAUGAAAACAAAGAGCUAUGAUGGCAUGAGAGUUUGAUAGAGAUAGAUGACAGGCUGAUCACUGAUGGUAGCCGAUGGAGUUUUUCUUUGGCAAAGGAUCGAUGGUGGUGGUUAGGGAUUUGAUUUUGAGUUUUUUUUUUUAAUUUCUAAUCGUUGUUUUAAAUUUUGGUCUUUUAGUUAUUUCAAAAAUAUUUCAGGGAUUUUAUUGUAAAUUCAAUAAAAAAAGAUAAAUUUAAUUUUUUUUUAAAUUCUAGGGGGCAUCAGCCCUAGCUCUCAAGUGGCGCCGCCUCUGCCUGCGACAUCAACCGUAUCAAGCGAAGAUAUUGGACAUUUAAUAAUGAAAAAAUUAGGAAUUUUCAUGGACACAUCAGUAGGUUUCGUAAAUAUGUAGAAUCAACUGAUUCUAGGUACCUUACAAUGUGACUUUUUUUUUUUCCCCUGAAGAUAAGGACUAUUUUUUAGGAUACUGGCCGUUGAGGCUUUGUUUGUAUUUUUGCAAGAAAAUGGAAAAGGGUGGGCUAAAGCGCAAAAAAUAAAGCUAACAACUGCUAAAUUUAAUUUUUUUAAGAGUGUUUUAAUGUGGCAUUUGAUUUGGGAACUUUUUUGUAGUUAUUGAAAUAGCCACACAGGGUAACAAUUGGGGCAUUCUUUCAUAAAUUGGACAUUAAUAGUACCGAGUACGAAUGAGGAUGGUUAAAUGCCUAAUCACCCUAUUAAUCUUGCAGUCCAAAAAAGCAAAAGCAAUAGCAUUACAAAUAGUAUAACUAUCAAAUUGAUUCACUCUGUCUAAACGACAAGUCAUCUGAUUACUAAAUUAUUUGACGCAACGACUGAUUUAGAAUUUUAAUGUAGAGGGAGCUUGGUACAAAUACUAUGAUUCACAGUAGCGUGUUCGAUGGUGCGAGUGAUCAACAACAGCAACAGACAAGUGAGGCAAUGAUGAUGUAUAUGUUGGAAAUAUAAAUUCAUAUUGUUUUUUGAAAGUACACAAUAUGAAUAGUAGCUGUUGGUACUGUUCACUUCACUAUUUACUAAUACUAUUGAUCUUACUGUUCACUCAACAACAAUUGUAAAUUCGUCAAGGCGUGUUCGAACUGUCCUUAAGACCAAUUUCUGCUUCUCCAGAAAGAUUUCCCGACACAAAAAAAAGAUAUAAAUAAAAUGGAUUGAUCCCUAGGAUAUAAUGACGUUAUUGUGAGCUUGUACUCCAAACACAACAGUUUAGAAUAACAAAAGAAAAAUUAAUGAAAAGAUAGAAGGAUAGGUUAUAAUGGCUGUGCCUUGAAGAUUUUGUAUUUUGAAAUAUCAAUAAAACUACAAGAAUAAGCUUAAAUAAUUUUAUCAAGAUUGCACUUUAAGAUGAAACACUAAUUAAUGGCCUUUCAAGACUUGAAUUGGGUUAAAUAGUUUAUGUACGAAAAUUGAAUUAUUGACAUCCAAAUGCACUUAAAUAAAUAUUUUCCCUAUCUCCUUUUAUAUAUUGUUGGUAAUAAAUCUAAUAACUUUAUGUUGUUGUGAUUCUUAAUGUAGUUUUUUUUUAAUCGGUAGCUGUGUACGUGUCAUUAUUAGCAAUGUGUCAUUUUCAUUACUGUGUUAUUGUUUGCAAUGUGUCAUUUUCAUUACUGUGUCAUUGGCCAAUAAUUUUGUAACAAAACCAACAUAUAGCGGUAAAUGAAAAAUUCACAAGUGGGGGACAUACACCCGUUUAAAAUAUUGUAAAUACAUUUUCUUCAUUCUAAGUGUGGACAUGCCAAUUUUGCAUAAUAGUCAUAUCCCAGAACAAAAGUCGCAUUAAAAUUUUAUUCAUUUAUUCAGGUUUUUUCCUGCAUUAACGAAUUCAUUGUGUAGGAUUUCAUUUUUAUGUAAACGAAUUUAGUUACGAUAAUCAACUACUAAUUUUUUUCCGUUAAUUGGCUACGUUUACGUUAAUUAACUGAUAAAUAACAUUGCAUUAGCGAAGCCAAGAGAUUCAUUUAAACCCCUAAGAUUCAAAUAUUCUUUCACUAGUACUACUGGAGAAAUUUGGCAAUCGAUAUUUCGGAAGACAUCAUUACAGAUGUCAAACAAAAGGUAAAAAUAAAAUAAAAAAUAGCUAGUCCCCCACUUGUAGGUAGGGCAUGCGUCUCAUGCGCUUUAAAUUUCCAAAAUUUAUAUCUUUUUGACAUGGAAACUACUCAGCAAGGCAAUGGUGACUCAACAACAUUAUAUAUAUGGAACUCUUUAGGUGAAUUGAAGAUGAGAACGAGGGAUUGCAUAAGCUACAAGAAUGAACGGUCAUUUGUAAAGUACAGCGAAUAGGGUCCAAUAGAUCAAAUCAAGUAGAGUAGAAGAAAAUGAAUUACACUUAUGGUACAAUCAGUUUCAAUUUCUUUCAUCUGUUAACCGUCUAUAAACAAGAUACAAGCUCGAAGCCACCAAUGGGCUAUAAACAGAGCUUCAUUCAAGAGAGUUAAAGGUAUCCCAAGUUCUGAAAAUUGAGAGCACGUACAAGUGAGCUUUUACAGAGAUUUUUCAGAGAAUGUUUUCUUAACUAUUCUAGAGGGAUUUAUAUCGGAUUUUGAGAAUUGUUCCCAUUCAAAGUCCAACCCCAAUUCAUGAGCCUAAAUAAUAAACCAAACAAAAGAGAAUAUUCUCUCCAUUUAUCUAGAAUUAUCUUUGCUAAAAAUAUCAUGAAUAAUUGGCGCUGUGGCAGUUUUAAAAUUUGGUGAUUGCUAAGAAAUUAAUGGUAAUAAGUUUAGAAUGUCGUUAUUUGUUAGGACCUGCAUUUAAAAUCUUAAAUAUUCGUAAUUAAUUAUAAAGAUCUCGGUUCACCUGCAAGCUACAACAAUUAGCUAACUGAUAUAUGGUAUUUUUUACAAAACUAUUCAAAAAGAAGGAGUAUAAUUAAUCAAACUGAUUUGGAUAGUACCACACGAUUUUUUUUUUAUUUUUAUUGACAAACCAACAUAAACAACAUAUUAACGUAACUAACGCAUUCACAUAUAAUUAUUUUAUUUAAUUAUUAAGAAAGACGAAGUACAUGGACGGUGGACACUAAGAAAUAUAAUCUCUUGUAGAUCAAGAAAUUUUAGAGGUUGAACUGAACUAAACUGACCCUCACACAAUUAAUUGACAGGUAAUAACAAUACCCAUCCUUUUAUUAACCAUAAUAGAAAAGAGUAAUAUUGCGUGCGUGCGCUGCGCUUAUUAACCAGUGUGGUCGGGAUUUCUUCCAUAUUGAGGGACAGCAAUCAGAUCAAGAUUAUCAAUUGUCUCGUCCUUAUCAUCAGCAAUACCAUAUACAGGUACUGGAGUACCCUCCAACCAUUCAUUCUUACCUGAAAGUUUAACAUUAGAAAAUGGAUUCAUAAAUGCUUAUAUUAAUAUAUGAAUUGUAAAUGAUAUCUAUUCAGCUGAAAUUGGCUAAAAAACCUGCGCAAGGAAAAGGAGUUUCCAUAUUCUUCAAAUCAGAAAAGAUCUCCAGGUGAAGCGUAAUCAAAACUAAAAAAUAAGUAGAGCUUGAGCGUGUUCUUAUUUCUGGUUUGAUCUGAUAUAUAUAGAUUCAAG